rnacentral:rRNA from 1 species
AUGAAGAAUAUAGAUGAGGAGGGGAUCGAAUCCUGCCCCGUAUGCAAUGCUGCUCUUGGGAUUGCUCCUGAAGAGAAACUCAGGGAUGAUCAAAAAAUUCAGGCUAUCAGGGACCAUGCGUUUCCACCUAAGGCAGAAGUUGACGCUUCAGAGGCUCCAACUAUUACACUGCCAACAAAGAUAAAAGAGAGGUCCAUUUCUUCCUUGGUUGAAACCAAAAAGAUGGCAAUACAACCUACUCUAACAGGACAGAGAGCUGCAAGAAGGAAAUUCAUGUCCCAUUUGUUUUCUGUCGGUAAAUUGCCAAACAAAUCGGAAGACCAUAGUCAGAAGACGGAGAUAGCCUCAGCACCAAAAUCAACCAAGGUGACAACAUCUGCAAACAAAAAGAAGAAUAGUGCAGACAUUUCUGAAGAUGGCAAGAGUCGCGAGACGAUUGACAAUGAAGAGCUUCAUAAGCCCUUACGGGGCUUAGUCGUGGCAAGUGCGAAGAAGUCACAAACAUUAAGUUAUCUGGGGGAAAGUCGGAAAAACAAAACAGCCACAGAGGAUAGUCGGAGGGAAAGCCCAGAAGCAGACUCGGAUGAUGGAAUAACUACCCCAGUCUGGUUUUCACUAGUGACUUCACCCAACCAGGCAGAAGCUAAACGGCUGCCUCAGCUAGAAAAGAAUUUCUACAGAAUUAAAGAUAGAACUAUGCAGGUCUCCUCCAUCCUGCAGCUCAUUAUGAUAAAACUUGAGCUAGCAAGUGACGUUAAGGUGGAGAUCUUAUGUCAUGGUAAGCCGGUCUGCCCCUCGACGACGCUGCCCGGCCUACUCAAGCAGUGGCUGAGCCGCAAGCCGAAGCGCAGGGUCCAGAGGCCGGUGGGUGCUCCGGCGAAUGAGUUUGUGAUGGAGCUGCACUACUGGCGG